UUUCAGUUCCUCACCAUCCCUAUGGGAGACUUUCACAUACAUGAUCAAUCUUGAUCAAGUUUUGAAGAUUAAAUCAAGAUUUUGAGUGUUCUUGAAGUAUCAAGUCUAAUAAUUAAGGGGUAUAAUUGGAGGUUUUAGAGGCCUGAGGAUGGUGUAAUUUCAUCAGAAAAAAAGAGGAAUUUUAUCGCAACAUUCGGUUACAGCACAGUGAGUUCAAUAUAGGGACAAUUGUAUGUUAUGUGUUAUAUGUGCAAUGUGCUUUCUUGUGUUAUUGAUCUAAGUGGUUAUUACUUGAUAUUGGUUUUGAUGUCUUUGGCCAUGUAGAGCAUGACUCGUAUCACUUUGGUAUUGGCUUUGUGCCUUUGACCAUGUAGAGCAUGACUCGUAUCACUUUGGUAUUGGCUUCGGGCUAGGUGAUAAGCAUCCAAAGUAAACAGGCUUUGUUGGAGGACUUAGAGUAGUUGACACUACUACGUUUUUACUUGGUAUACAUAUAUGUAUAUGGAUUAUAAAUUAUGGGUAGUUAUGUGUUUAUACAACUAGUUAUGAAACUUUGUAAAAACCCUUUUAGUUGGUUUGUAUCCAUGCUUUUGUAGACCACUAGUGUGAAUUAUAAUUAUGAAUAUGCAUGUAGCAUGUUUGCCUUUAUGGUAA